CGGACAGGUGGCCGAGUGGUUUAAGGCAGCGGUCUUGAAAACCGCCGUGGGUUCACGCUCACCGUGGGUUCGAAUCCCACCCUGUCCGCCAU
rnacentral:tRNA from 1 species